rnacentral:rRNA from 1 species
GACGAACGCUGGCGGCGUGCUUAACACAUGCAAGUCGAACGGAAAGGCCCUGCUUUUGUGGGGUGCUCGAGUGGCGAACGGGUGAGUAACACGUGAGUAACCUGCCCUUGACUUUGGGAUAACUUCAGGAAACUGGGGCUAAUACCGGAUAGGAGCUCCUGCUGCAUGGUGGGGGUUGGAAAGUUUCGGCGGUUGGGGAUGGACUCGCGGCUUAUCAGCUUGUUGGUGGAGUAGUGGCUUACCAAGGCUUUGACGGGUAGCCGGCCUGAGAGGGGGACCGGCCACCUGGGGACUGCGGUACGGCCCAGACUCGUACGGGAGGCAGCAGUGGGGAAUAUUGCACAAUGGGCGGAAGCCUGAUGCAGCAGCGCCGCGUGCGGGAUGACGGCCUUCGGGUUGUAAACCGCUUUCGCCUGUGACGAAGCGUGAGUGACGGUAAUGGGUAAAGAAGCACCGGCUAACUACGUG